AGAGUUUGAUCCUGGCUCAGAUUGAACGCUGGCGGCAUGCUUAAGACAUGCAAGUCGAACGGUAACGGGCCCUUCGGGGUGCCGACGAGUGGCGGACGGGUGAGUAAUGCAUCGGAAUCUGCCCAGUAGUGGGGGAUAACCCGGGGAAACUCGGGCUAAUACCGCAUACGUCCUACGGGAGAAAGUGGGGGACCUUCGGGCCUCACGCUAUUGGAUGAGCCGAUGUCCGAUUAGCUUGUUGGUAGGGUAACGGCCUACCAAGGCGACGAUCGGUAGCUGGUUUGAGAGGAUGAUCAGCCACACUGGGACUGAGACACGGCCCAGACACCUACGGGUGGCAGC
rnacentral:rRNA from 1 species